ACUGAACGCUGGCGGCAGGCUUAACACAUGCAAGUCGAGCGGAGUGAUGGAGCUUGCACUAUCACUUAGCGGCGGACGGGUGAGUAAUGCUUAGGAAUCUGCCUAUUAGUGGGGGACAACAUCUCGAAAGGGAUGCUAAUACCGCAUACGUCCUACGGGAGAAAGCAGGGGAUCACUUGUGACCUUGCGCUAAUAGAGGAGCCUAAGUCGGAUUAGCUAGUUGGUGGGGUAAAGGCCUACCAAGGCGACGAUCUGUAGCGGGUCUGAGAGGAUGAUCCGCCACACUGGGACUGAGACACGGCCCAGACUCCUACGGGAGGCAGCAGUGGGGAAUAUUGGACAAUGGGGGGAACCCUGAUCCAGCCAUGCCGCGUGUGUGAAGAAGGCCUUAUGGUUGUAAAGCACUUUAAGCGAGGAGGAGGCUCUUUUGGUUAAUACCCAAGAUGAGUGGACGUUACUCGCAGAAUAAGCACCGGCUAACUCUGUGCCAGCCGCCGCCGUAA
rnacentral:rRNA from 1 species